rnacentral:rRNA from 1 species
AUGGGGCAGCCUGGAGGCCAAUCAAGCACCGGAGGUGUUAGCGAAAAUCAGGCCCAACGAAGCAACCCCCUUGGCUACCUCCUCACCGCUCCUUCGGCUAUCGGCAGAGCGCAGGCCCCUCUGAGGGCAUCGUAUGAGCAUCUCGGCCUUCUCAGAGGUGGUGCACCACGUUCUGGUCCUUCGACCGCGAGCGUCUCCCCUACCCGGAGCCCCCAGUUCGACAAUCUCCUCGCUGGCCGUACUGUGUCUGCGGGGAGCAACAAUGGCGUGGGUCGUGGACUGCCUUUCCCCACGCUAGUGGUGCAAGGGCAACAACCGAUGUACCACGCCACUGGAAGGGACGGUGUUUUGCCAUCGUCCCUUAUGCAAGCUCGGAGCACCGACCAUUUCACCUUUCAAUCGCCGCAGCCACGCUCCGUGGCACCGAACAGGGGAAACCGCUUCUAUUCACAGCUUCUCGCGCCGCCGCGACAUGUGGUGCCUGUGCAGUUCCUUGGUGGUCUGACCCCGACGGCUUCCGGGGUUCUCAACGCUUUGUCGGCACUAGGAGCGUUAGAAUUAACCCGAGCACAGAGUGUCUUCCUGCUUAACAGUGUAGACUCUGGUCGCCGCGACGCGCUUGCGCGAGAAGCGGGCACAAGUAUCAUGCAACGGAGAGAGCCGAGCCACCGUGUCGGAGAGCUUGCCUUUCUCCCUGGCACCAGAUCUGUGCAACACAUGGAUCCAAUGGGCUUUGGCGGCGGUCUCCAUCAUGAGCCUUCGCUUCUUGUAGGCACAAGAUCUGUGCAACACACGAUUGGCUUUGGCGACACUCGCCUCAACGAGCAUUCUCUUCUUGCAAGUACCAGACCCGCGUUGCGCAUGGAGAUGAUGGGCUUCGACGUUCAUAGCCUCCAUAGGCGUGUGCUUACUGGCACCGGAUUCGUGCAUCGCACGGAGCUGAUUGGCUACGACAUAAGUCUCUUUAGGCAUACACUUCUUGCAGGCCCCGGAUACGUGUCACGCCUCAACUCUGGCACAAGGCAAAUGAUGGAGUCAUCAGGCACAGGCAUGACACGUGAGGACAACCGAGCGGCGGCGAGAAAUGAGGCCAUAUUGCGGCGCAUGAAUAGGAUGGUUAGGAUCUUGGAGGACGGGAGAAGAGCCCGCGCUGACAUCCUUGCAGCUUCUCGUGGUCGUGGGCGGCGAGGUGGUGGCAACCGGACACUGCCAGACGGGUGGAACUAG